GUCAAGUCAUCAUGGCCCUUACGCCUAGAGCUACACACGUGCUACAAUGGUGCAUACAGAGGGCAGCGAGCUAGUGAUAGUAAGCGAAUCUCAGAAAGUGCAUCUCAGUUCGGAUCGGAGUCUGCAACUCGACUCCGUGAAGUUGGAAUCGCUAGUAAUCGCAUAUCAGCCAUGAUGCGGUGAAUACGUUCCCGGGCCUU
rnacentral:rRNA from 1 species